ensembl:lncRNA
CCCCCCCCCCCCUAAUGAGGACCUCAGCAGAUACAAGGAGCACCAGGGGGGGGCGGGGGGGCACUGGGCCACAAGAUGGAGGAGGUAAUCCGGUCCAGAAGGGGCUGAAACUGUUGGUGGGUUCAUCCACCGACAGGAAUCUUUAUUCAUCUAAAUCGACGAAUUGUGUUCCAUCAAAUACACACUACAUACAAACUUUUGCAGCCUAAUUUCUAAUAUCCGCUUUUUGGAUCAUUAUAAAGUGAAUACUUCAAUUUCACUUUGGACUCUAUUUGGCUUUUAUUCAUAUAUUUUACAUUUUAUAGACUCAAUUAUCAAUCAAUGAAUAAGAAAAAUGUGAAAAUAAUCAUUAAUUGCAGCCCUUCUAUCCAGGCAAUGGGAGGGAUGCGAAUCUUUAGGAAAUGGAUGCGUUACAAUUAUUAUAUAUAAUAAAUAAAUAAAAACGUAUAUAAAUAUAUAUUGGGUAUAAAACAUUAGAAUACGGCCGAAAACAAGGGUGUUCCUUUUGUAGGAUGUAGUGGAAGAUGAUACGAAGGUGAAUGUCAGAAUAUGUUAAUCCAGGAAUUUGAGCAAUUGUUAACAUUUUACUAUAAUACUACAGAGGAAGACAGGAAGUAGAGACACUGCAACCAAGCGGUGCCAAAAGCAAGUCCAUAGCCAAAUCCCUUAACCUAACUGGUAAGUUAACUCACCUUUUUACCAGUAAUUCGGCCCAAGAAAUAAACUAAUGGGAAGGGUAUUAGAACAGACCCAGGUCACACUUAGUCCAGCUAUGGCCAAAGCCAAGAGAAAGCGACCUCUGGAAAAAGGUUUUUUUUUGGCCAAUAGUAUUUCCCCUGUUUAACAACUCAAGACUUUGUACUAAAAAACAAUACAGAAUUGUUCAUCAGCACUUGUGAGACUCACAGGACAAAAUACGUAUUUUAGGGAUUAAAAUCCCUUUAUGGUUGAUCAUAUAUAUAUAUAUAUAUAUAUAUCAAUGAAUACUUCAACCCAGCUCAGUACAUACACUCCUUGAUGUUGAAGUCUCUAGACUAGGUCUAAAGCAUAUACGUUUGAAUAAGUAUUGUUAUCAUGAUAGACAGACACACACUCCUCAUUCUGUCACAUUUUAUUAAUAGAAUAUACUUUUCUUACAGUUAUUCACAUUAUAAUUGAACAUAAAUAACACAUUUGUUGCAGUGUGUCAUUUAUUUUUGAACAGUUGCAGAAAAUAAGCCAAAUAAGUCCAGUGAAGACCUUAAAAGAAGAGUUACAUAAGCUUUGUGUGCAUCUUAAUGCCUGGGUAAACACAAUCUGCUCGCUAUGUCUAUGCCUCAAGCCAUGACAUUGCCUACAUACAUGUAGGCACUACACCAGCUGUGUGUGUGUGUGUGUGUGUGUGUGUGUGUGUGUGUGUGUGUGUGUGUGUGUGUGUGUGUGUGUGUGUGUGUGUGUGUGUGUGAUGUUUAAUGUGUUUCCAUAUUUUGGUUGAUUCCUGUACUUUUUGGGGGUUCUAAGUGUAAUUAAGACAAUGUAUUGUACGUUGCCACAUGCAGUAGUCACCUUAGUGGUCACUGUCUACAUGUCCCUACUCGACACUACUUAUACAUUGUAUGCACACAUAUUCUAAUCAAGGGGAGAAGUGUGUUCAGCACCACACUCGGAUCUCUGGUUAAGGAUAUCAAAGCGGCAUUCACAAACUUAUAUCUGGCUUAAAAUCCACGACCAUCAACAUCAAAUAGAUGGAAGGGUUCAUUAAAAAAAUAUAUAGUUUCACCUCGGCUCCUUUUGAGCCUCCAUUCAGUUGCAUUGAGCAGGCUACAAAAUACAAAUAUAACACGUCUGUUACUUACAUUGUAUUCACUUGCUUGUGCCUUCGUUACAGCUGGGUGUGUCUGUGGCAGCAUAUCUGCCUCAUCCGUUAUCCGCAGGGUAAACACCCAGCUGCAAAGGCCUUAACGAACACCUUCACCACAGGUACAACUGUCAGUGUUCUGGGUGUCAUGUUCACAGUGCUUUUCUGUGAUUGCAAUGUCUCGCUGCGCAAAGGAAAUGGCUUAACUGUUUCCUGUACUAACUGCUACUACGCUAUGGGGUGUGACCAAUGGGAACGGGACUUACAAGCGCAUAAAUGGGAAAUGUACUUCCUGAUCAAUUUGCAAUUAGAUUUUAUGAAAGUUUUUGAAAGAGUAUCUGGACAUUUUUGCUCUUAAGAUGUCCGUUUCUUAAUUUGCAAGCCUGCUCAAUGCAAGUGAAUUGAGGGUCCAACACUUUAGAACUAAAAUCUUUACGUAUUUAUUGGUGGGGAAGUGGAAUCGAAGCCAUAUAUGGGCGUAGCGAGUUCUGGCAAGAUGCUCCGACACUGAGAAGUGAUCCAUUUUUGAGGUUCCAUUUCACCCACCAUAACCAUCAUCAUGUAUUAUACCCAAAUCAUCGGUUGAUAUAGCUGAUGUUGUACGCCAUGGGGUUAAUGUAUCGUGCUCCCUGUUGUCAAAUGUAGGUAUCGUAUAAGUUAACUGUAUGUCAAGAUUUAAAUCCUACAGCAUAGCGCCACUCCUUUGCCAUGCUAAGGUGUAUGACUAUUUCAAGCAUCAAAUGGUUAAAUCUAUGACACAAGGGAUAUAUGAAACUCAUGCAAACAUGGGAGAAAGAGUGCUUCGUCUAUACACGUUAUGUAUGCAUGGGCAGAAAACAUAAAUGGUGACCUUCCGCAUCCAACCUCUGUAGAUAUCAUUCAGUAGGCCUUACAGUCUAAAAGAUAAAGUACAGUCUUUAGUUUUCAUUACUUUCCCCCUAAAAUGAUGAAUGGUACCAGUGAUGUCUGAGGUGUGGUGGAAGAAUAUUGUCAUGCUGACUGAGAAUAUGACAGUAGAGUGUAACUCUGCAAAUUAAUCUAAAUUCUUCAACUUCAAUAAAGUAACACAGUUGAGGCAAUGAUUACUUCCAUGUGUCUUUUUUAUAGGUGUAGCCUACCGUCAAUGCAUCGUUUACUCAGUUUCUCUACUCGUCUUCUCCUGCUUCUGCUUUCCAUGCAACAUUGGAGUUGGAAAGAAAGUACGUAUUCCUUCGUCAAACAGUAGGCCUAGGGAUUUAGGGUGAUAUGUUAUCUCCGUCCAUAUAGCCCACUCUCCAGGGAAAAGAGAUCAGGAGAAAUCAUGCAUUUCAGAAAUUGGACAAUAAGUAGGCCUAAAGUUAUUAACUUUGCCUUUAUUUUCUAUUUUAAUACUAAAAUUCCAUUUUAACUUUAAAUUUUACCCAUUUCUUUGCAUAUGUUUUCUUUUACUUAUCUAUUAUUAUCUUUUAUUGUA